ensembl:lncRNA
UAGAUCAUUUGUUUCCCAACAGUAAAAAAAAAAAAAAAAAAAAAAAAGCCACAGGAAGUUGCAGACUAUUGACUAGCUGGAAAUUGAACCACAUGCAUGGAACCCUAAAGCCACAAAUAAAAAGGGAUUUGGUGGCCUCCAGGGUCUGCCAUCAUCAGCAGCCAGCAAGAUGUUUCCAGGCAGCUCGGAGGCAAACAAGUAUUGUUGAGUGUCAUAUAUGACAACGUGCAAGUCUUUUUUUUUUUCCCCACCAUGAUCUGGCAAGACGCCACAUGUUAAAGGGCAUCAUGCCUUUCCCACCGUAAGUUUAUUUCCUUUCAGAUGUGUUUUUCCUUUUCAGCCACAAUAUAAUGGAGAUAAUACUGGAUAAAUAUUUAUGCAGAAGAUUUAAAGUGAGCAUUAAAGUUUAAAUUGCUUUUAUGCACAAUAUUAUCUUUUAAUAAGAUAUUUAUUAAUUUAUUAAUACAGAUUUAUUAUUUGUUUUUUUAUUAAUUUAUUGAACUACCGUUUCUAUUUUUUUUUUUUUUUAUAAUUAAACAGGUCUUUUAAUAUACAUAUUUACAGUGCAAUAUAUGUUUUUAGUCCUCUUUUGUUUUGUUUUUUUUGUUUUUUUGGUUAUCUAAAAGCCUGCUUUUAUAGACUGGACUUAGUUGUCAAUAUGAAGUCUAAGACUAAACAACUACCAGAACAACUAAAAUCAUUCUUGAUUUAAAAUGUUUUCUAAAAUGAUUUUUCUUGUUGUUUAACAAAAAAAUUGGGUCUCCUGGAGCACACUCUUCAGCAUAGUUAAACCGCUUUCAUAUUCACUUCAAAAUAUGUG